GGGCCUAUAGCUCAGUUGGUAGAGCAACUGACUUUUAAUCAGUGGGUCGCAGGUUCGAAUCCUGCUGGGCUCACCA
rnacentral:tRNA from 2 species